rnacentral:rRNA from 1 species
AUCGAUGAAGAACGCAGCGAAAUGCGAUAAUUAAUGUGAAUUGCAGAAUUCAGUGAAUCAUCGAAUCUUUGAACGCACAUUGCGCCUCCUGGUAUUCCGGGAGGCACGCCUGUCCGAGCGCCAUUACACCCCCCAAGCCWUGCUUGAUGUUGGGCCAUGACAURNCCGUCAGGCCCCAAACCUUUAGGCGCCCCCUACUGGCCGCGAGCGUAGCAAGAAUUUAUUUUCCCUCGYUYCGCGUGUCCRRUAGGCGGGCCGCCCAUCGACCCACAAACUUYUACAAGGUUUGGCCUCGGAUCAGGCGGGGAUACCCGCUGAACUUAAGCAUAUCAAUAAGCGGAGGAAAAGAAACCAACAGGGAUUGCCCCAGUAACGGCGAGUGAAGCGGCAUCAGCUCAAAUUUGAAAUCUGGCGUCUUCGGCGUCCGAGUUGUAAUUUGUAGAGAGUGUCUCGGGUGGAGCACCGGUCCAAGUCCCUUGGAACAGGAUAUCAUAGAGGGUGAGAAUCCCGUAUCCGGCCGGCCCCCUCCCCCGCUGUGAGACCUCUUCGACGAGUCGAGUUGUUUGGGAAUGCAGCUCUAAAUUGGAGGUAAAUUCCUUCUAAAGCUAAAUACUGGCCAGAGACCGAUAGCGCACAAGUAGAGUGAUCGAAAGAUGAAAAGCACUUUGAAAAGAGAGUCAAACAGUACGUGAAAUUGUUGAAAGGGAAGCGUAUGCGGCCAGACUUGUCCCCAGUUGCUCARCCCGUCUUYUGGCGGGUGUACUCUUCUGGGGCCAGGCCAGCAUCGGUUUGGGCGGUCGGAUAAAGACGUCRGGAAUGUGGCCCCCCUCGGGGGGUGUUAUAGCCYGGCGUGCAAUGCGWYCAGCCCGGACCGAGGCCCGCGUUCUGCUAGGAUGCUGGCGUAAUGGCCGUAUACGGCCCGUCUUGAAACACGG